rnacentral:miRNA from 1 species
AUGACCUAUGAAUUGACAGA